rnacentral:rRNA from 1 species
GACGAACGCUGGCGGCGUGCCUAAUACAUGCAAGUCGAACGCAUUUUCUUUCACCGUAGCUUGCUACACCGAAAGAAAAUGAGUGGCGAACGGGUGAGUAACACGUGGGUAACCUGCCCAUCAGCGGGGGAUAACACUUGGAAACAGGUGCUAAUACCGCAUAAUUCCAUUUACCGCAUGGUAGAUGGAUGAAAGGCGCUUUUGCGUCACUGAUGGAUGGACCCGCGGUGCAUUAGCUAGUUGGUGGGGUAACGGCCUACCAAGGCUGCGAUGCAGAGCCGACCUGCGAGGGUGAUCGGCCACACUGGGACUGAGACACGUCCCAGACUCCAUCGUGAGGCAGCAGUAGGUGAUCUUCGGCAAUGGACGCAAGUCUGACCGAGCAACGCCGCGUGAGUGAAGAAGGUUUUCGGAUCGUAAAACUCUGUUGUUAGAGAAGAACAAGGAUGAGAGUGGAAAGUUCAUCCCUUGACGGUAUCUAACCAGAAAGCCACGGCUAACUACGUGCCAGCCGCCGCCUAACAC